rnacentral:snoRNA from 1 species
UACCAAAACUCUUUGUCAGGGCCUCUCUCCUUCCCUUUGGAAAUUACCCAGAGAAUGGUCUGUUAAAGUUUUGGAAGAUAGAUAACAUUCGCCCGUUUAUUGCUCUCGUUCUGAGAGAAUUCUGAUGAACAUCAGAUGGGUAACUUUCGUUUUGAAAGUAUGCCAUCGCCUUCUUAGAAUGGGGAGGAUCUUAUGAGUUGAGCAUGGAUAUUUAAAGACCUACAGUACCGUUGCUCGUAGUAAAGAACCUCACAAUU